GACGAACGCUGGCGGCGUGCCUAAUACAUGCAAGUCGAGCGAAUCAGCAGGAGCUUGCUCCUGUUGGUUAGCGGCGGACGGGUGAGUAACACGUGGGCAACCUGCCUGUAAGACUGGGAUAACACCGGGAAACCGGUGCUAAUACCGGAUAAUCCUUUUCCUCCCAUGAGGAAAAGCUGAAAGUCGGUUUCGGCUGACACUUACAGAUGGGCCCGCGGCGCAUUAGCUAGUUGGUGAGGUAACGGCUCACCAAGGCGACGAUGCGUAGCCGACCUGGGAGGGUGAUCGGCCACACUGGGACUGAGACACGGCCCAGACUCCUACGGGAGGCAGCAGUAGGGAAUCUUCCACAAUGGACGAAAGUCUGAUGGAGCAACGCCGCGUGAGCGAUGAAGGCCUUCGGGUCGUAAAGCUCUGUUGUUAGGGAAGAACAAGUACCGGAGUAACUGCCGGUACCUUGACGGUACCUAACCAGAAAGCCACGGCUAACUACGUGCCAGCCGCCGCAGUAAGAC
rnacentral:rRNA from 1 species